rnacentral:rRNA from 1 species
GUGCCAGCAGCCGCGGUAAUACCGGCAGCUCAAGUGAUGUCCCAUAUUAUUGGGCCUAAAGCGUCCGUAGCUGGCCGACCAAGUCUCCCGGGAAAUCCACCCGCCCAACGGGUGGGCGUCCGGUAGAAACUGGCCGGCUUGGAACCGGAAGGCUCGAAGGGUACGUUCGGGGUAGGAGUGAAAUCCCAUAAUCCCGCACAGACCACCGAUGGCGAAAGCACUUCGAGAAAACGGAUCCGACAGUGAGGGACGAAAGCCAGGGUCUCCAACCGGAUUAGAAACCCAGUGUCC